rnacentral:rRNA from 1 species
AAUGAACGCUGGCGGCAUGCCUAACACAUGCAAGUCGAACGAAGGCUUCGGCCUUAGUGGCGCACGGGUGCGUAACGCGUGGGAAUCUGCCCUUGGGUUCGGAAUAACAGUUAGAAAUGACUGCUAAUACCGGAUGAUGUCGUAAGACCAAAGAUUUAUCGCCCAAGGAUGAGCCCGCGUAGGAUUAGCUAGUUGGUGAGGUAAAAGCUCACCAAGGCGACGAUCCUUAGCUGGUCUGAGAGGAUGAUCAGUCACACUGGAACUGAGACACGGUCCAGACUCCUACGGGAGGCAGCAGUGGGGAAUAUUGGACAAUGGGGGAAACCCUGAUCCAGCCAUGCCCCGUGAGUGAUGAAGGCCUUCGGGUUGUAAAGCUCUUUCAGAUGUGAAGAUAAUGACGGUAGCAUCAGAAGAAGCUCCGGCUAACUCCGUGCCAGCCGCCGCCGUAACAC